rnacentral:lncRNA from 1 species
AUGUUAUAAGGAGAUAAAAGUGAAAAUGAAACGACAAAGGAAAUGAGCCAGAAAAUCAGACCUCUGGACAAUUAAAAUUCAGUGUCCAAGUCAAACCAGUGACAAUCUUUUAGGUAGAUUGUAUAAAUUCAGCUUAUUGUAGAUUUUAAAAGAAAACAAUUUUGAAGUUUCUUAUCACCAGGAACAGCUGCUAGACCUCCAAAUGGAACUUCCUAAUGAGUGUGGAAACAAAAUCUGUUUCUUUAUUUCCCAGAUACCCCGUAUUUGCCUGGCUACCAACCAACACUGACCAGCUGCUGCUCUCUAUUCUCCAGCCACCUGGUCUUACUGCUGACAUUUGAGUUUGGAAAGAGUAUGUGCUUCUUUCUAAAUAUUCCAGAUAUUAUCCCUUAUUUGCACUGUAGCUGGCUUCUGGAUUGACUCUAAUAGAAAAUGUCAAAAUCUCCCUAGUCUUUCUUGAGACACAAUGAAGUGCUUGGAGGGUGUCAUUGAGGAGACUGGCAGUCAUUGUCCCUUCCUUGUUCUGUGUUUGUCAGUAGUGUGGAGAUAGAGAAACUUAAAUCUACAUUUGCAAGACCCUUUCACAAGGAGGAUUCUUGAUGUAAUAUAGUUUAUCCAGUUAAGUUGAAAAAGGAAAGGAAGCAGAGCUAUACAUUUGCAACUGCUGCUAUGACUCCUGUAAAGUUUGGUCAGGAAGCCUCUGGGAUUUUCUGCAGCUGCGCUUUAGUUGGAGAUCAAUUACAGAGCCAUCGUGAAAAUCAUCAGGUGAUGGAAGUUUCAGUGAAUAGUCAUCAGGUAUUGAAAAUGUAGAUUUAAGCCUUCUCAAUCUCCACACUACUGACAAACAAAGAAGGAAAGAAGAAUGGCGGCCAUAGUAUCCUCCAUGAGACCCUUCAAACACUUCACUGUCUCAUCAAGUGUGUGAAUUGAGAGGCAGGAUGUGGUAGCUGAAUAUCGACUUUCUGAUUCCUGGACAGAAGCUAGGGCUGUGUAUUUGUGGAUCCAGCAAUUCCUUGGAGGUUUACGCCCACCAUAUGCAGGGCUUCAGGAGGAAGAAAGCCUUUCUAGUGGAGGUCAUUAGCAUCACUGGAGGUCAACAGUAGCUGCUGAGGGAGAGACUGACCCAUCUCAAGAAGGGAUGUGGCUCUACUACUCUCAGGAAGAAAUCAGAAGUCUUGGGAAGCCCUCUUACCACCAUCAAAAGGCAGAUUUCCCAGUGCCAAUCAUUCCGUCUCUGGGUAUCCUCCUGGACCUCUGGAAAAUUGUGUGGAGCCACAAGUGAGAUUUGAAUUCAUGUGUGGACCUGGAGCUUCUGAAAGGUGAAGGCAGCAUGAUGGUUAUGGUUGACGAGAGUGAAGAGGCCAUCUUGUGAGCCACAUCAGAAGAUAGAGAAGAUUUUUCCGACUGAAACAACAUAUUAAAGGCCAAGGGCAUCCCGAAAUCUCAGAAGAAAACUAUAGCCUGUUGGAAAAUGAGAACUGGACUCUUAUUCUGCUCUGCAUCUGUGUAGAUGAAGCCCCGACACACAGCCUAACGGUUAAUGACUUCUUGAAUCUCACUGCUGCUGCGCUCCAUUCCCUGGCUGCAAAAUGGAGAAAGCACCUGGAUCCACAGUGAUGACAUCUGUCUGACCUAGCAUUUCUCCACCUGCCAUCUCUGACUGACCUUGGCCAUGUCUUUUGGAUGGCUUGGAUGCCACACUCUGCUGUACACUGUCACUCACCAAUCUCACCACUUUGAAUGCUAACCUGAACUCUGCUUGAGUUUGCCUCAUCCCUUGCCCUUUACUAGACUAUUCAUUCAGCUAAAGCAAGAGUAACAACUGUCCUUUCCACAGUUUUUGCUUCUGCUGAGUCUCUGUUGGAAAACAUUCAACAUCCUUAUACCUAAAUCCCCUCAUGUUAUGGACAACAUCUAAGCAAUAAUAAGCGUAAUAGAUAAAAUGAAGUAUCUUAUUAAAUUCAUUAAUUACCUGGUUGAGAAUAGGAUGCUGAAAUAAAAGAAAUCAUGUGUUUUUCUGCUUGUUUUUUUGGGUUUUUUUGUUUUUAUAAGAAAGAGGAACAGUUUCAUGAGAAUCUUCCCAGAAUGGGAAAUUUUAGUGACUUAGCAAAAUUGGGUGCUUGAGCAAUCUGGUGGCGGUAUGAUGUCAGGGGUGUGGAAGAGAACAGACACAAAUGCGCUGAUGAGUAAAUAGAGUUGAUGCAAUGGACAAUACUGAACAUCUAUCCUUAAGCUCUUUUCCAAUGUUUCCUGGGACUCUGGUCAAAACUUCAAAUAAAUCUGCUUUAAAAGUCCCAGUAAGAAAUCUUCCUCUCUCUGCAAAUGGAUGGCUGUUGUCCACUUCUAGGAGACUGUAAUUUAACUCCAUAGAAAAGGUCAAACAAACAUACUCUGAACUGAAGGACACCAGUCCUCAGGUGCAAGCAGGAUUCCUGUACUGAAAAAAAAUAGAUGGACAAGAACAAUUGCAUACUGAAUACUGACACUCUCAGUGGUCUUGUCCAACUAGGUUCCCAGAAUUCUGCCAGCUCAUCUCUCCCAAGACCUGGAAGGUUAUUCUCUGAAGACUCGGACCAACCAAAGGGGAAAAAGCUCAUUAUUCAUGUGUGUAGAUUAGUGAUCAUGGUUAUCUUUGGAUUAUAUAGUGCUUUAUACUUUUCUGUAUUCUUCCCAUUUUCUAUAAUAAGCAUGUAUUUAUUCAUCUUUAAUCAUAAAAAUUAAUAUUCAUGAGUAAAUACUUCUGGGCACUAUGCUAAGCAACUUAAAUUCAUUAUCUCUUUUAAUUCUCACGGUAAUCUUAGAAGUUAGGUAUUAUUUAAUUGUCACUUAAUAAUUGAGGAAACAUGGUCCUAGAGGUUAAAUAAUUGUUCACCAUCAGGUAACUA